rnacentral:rRNA from 1 species
UACGUAGGGUGCAAGCGUUGUCCGGAAUUAUUGGGCGUAAAGAGCUCGUAGGCGGUUUGUCGCGUCUGCUGUGAAAACGCGAGGCUCAACCUCGCGCCUGCAGUGGGUACGGGCAGACUAGAGUGUGGUAGGGGAGACUGGAAUUCCUGGUGUAGCGGUGAAAUGCGCAGAUAUCAGGAGGAACACUGAUGGCGAAGGCAGGUCUCUGGGCCACUACUGACGCUGAGAAGCGAAAGCAUGGGGAGCGAACAGG